AUUGAACGCUGGCGGCAGGCCUAACACAUGCAAGUCGAGCGGAUGAGGGAAGCUUGCUUCCCGAUUUAGCGGCGGACGGGUGAGUAAUGCCUAGGAAUCUGCCUAUUAGUGGGGGAUAACGUUCCGAAAGGAACGCUAAUACCGCAUACGUCCUACGGGAGAAAGUGGGGGAUCUUCGGACCUCACGCUAAUAGAUGAGCCUAGGUCGGAUUAGCUAGUUGGUGAGGUAACGGCUCACCAAGGCGACGAUCCGUAGCUGGUCUGAGAGGAUGAUCAGCCACACUGGAACGGAGACACGGUCCAGACUCCUACGGGAGGCAGCAGUGGGGAAUAUUGGACAAUGGGCGAAAGCCUGAUCCAGCCAUGCCGCGUGUGUGAAGAAGGUCUUCGGAUUGUAAAGCACUUUAAGUUGGGAGGAAGGGUUGUAAGCUAAUAUCUUGCAGCUUUGACGUUACCAACAGAAUAAGCACCGGCUAACUCUGUGCCAGCCGCCGCUGUAAAAC
rnacentral:rRNA from 1 species